GAAUUUAGUAGAAUCUUAAUUAAAACACAUUUUCAAACUCCUUGGAUGCUCAUCUCAUCUAAAGAAAUCAAGAUAAUUUCCACCGUAAACAUCAAGCUUCAGUUGAGCCAUCAAAUGGAAAAAGGAACUCAGGCAAUGUCUCAUGCACCACACCCAAUAGGUUACAAUGGAGGAGGGUGAUGGAAGACAUCUAAGACCCACCUACAGAGGAAGAUCUGGUGGGCAUGCAGGGAGAGCCAAGCCUGCAGAGCCUAGUGGGCAUCUAAGCCCACUCUGACCAGCCUGGGUCCUUGGAGCAGUGGCAAACUAGACUGGAUCUGAGAACAAGUGGCUUCUUCCUCUGCUCUAGUGGCUGUCGUUCCUCCUCUGGCUGGUGGCUGCAGAUGUCACUGCAUCACUUCCAUUCAGUUCACAUUUUCAGAGUUUUUCUUUGCAAGCUGGAGGGAGUAGAAGCAUUUUUUGUUAAAUGAAAGCUGAGGUUCUGGUCCGAUCGCUGCCUCCACCUGCAUGGAAACUGGAGAGUGGAGCCUGCAUUGAAGAAGGGAAGAGUCUGAAGGAGACACUAGAAAGUUACUCUGUGCAGAUGGUUAGGAAUGCUAAGGUGCAGGAGGAGCAGCUCCAGCAAUAGUUGCUCUAAUAAGGAGCCAGUUUUGUUUAAUAGAAAUGGAAUGUUCUCCUUAACCAGUCACAUGUCUUCCUGCUCAUACCCCUGCCUUAAUCCAGCCCUAGCUUUGGGUGUGUCCAAACUUCACUGAGGGGAGACCAGCUGAGCACACUUACAGUGAACACCUAGCAUGAGUAGCGUCUCAUGUUAAUCUCUCAGGUAGGCACUGAAUUGUGGGCAGAGCUGAGAAUAGCACUCUCCUUUUCGCAAUUCAAGCUCUGCUUUUGUUUCUAUAUUUGUUAUUACCCUUGUCUUAUGUCUCAGAGCCUUGUUAAGCUUGACUACAGUACAUAAUAAAUGAAUAACUGUAAAGACAAA